UACGGAGGGUGCGAGCGUUGUCCGGAAUCACUGGGCGUAAAGGGCGCGUAGGUGGCGCGGGCAGUCAACGGUGAAAGUUCGGGGCUCAACCCUGAAUCGGCCGUCGAUACUCCCGGGCUUGAGCACUGUAGAGGCUAAUGGAAUUCCGGGUGUAGCGGCGGAAUGCGUAGAGAUCCGGAAGAACACCGGUGGCGAAGGCGGUUAGCUGGGCAGUUGCUGACACUGAGGCGCGACAGCGUGGGGAGCAAACAGG
rnacentral:rRNA from 1 species